AUCCGUGAGCUUGGUGAUGGGAUGGAGGAGAAGUACGUAGUGAAGAAGCUACUCCGAGCCGUCUCCAACAAGUUCAUCCAUGUUGCAUCAUUGAUUGCAUUGUUCGGCGACACCAACAAGAUGGCCAUGGAGGAGGCCAUUGGUUCACUCAAGGCGCACGAGGAGCUCGUCAAGGGGCGGGAGACGGCACGUCAAGAAGAGCAGCUCCUCGUGGCGAGAGGGCAUGACUCAUCACGAGGAUGCGACCGUGGUGGCCAUGGCUGUGGCCGCGGACAUGGCCGUGGUGGAGGGCGCAGAGACAAGAGAGAGGUACAUUGCUAUAACUGUGAUGACUUUGGACAUUUUGCUUGGGAGUGUCCAGAGAAAAAGGAGAACGAGGAGAAGGCACUGCUGGCCGGGUACGGCAGCGAUGGACGGGCUCUUCUUUGA
rnacentral:rRNA from 1 species